GCAUAUCCAUAGCCGAGAAAGAACUACAAGGAUUCCCCUAGUAACGGCGAGUGAAGCGGGAUGAGCUCAAAUUUAAAAUCUGGCUGGGUUUACUAGUCCGAAUUGUAGUUUAAAGAAGCGUUUUCGGUGGCAGCCUGGGGUAUAAAUCCUUUGGAAUAGGGUAUCAUAGAGGGUGAGAAUCCCGUCUUUGACUCAGUGAAUGCUACUAUGUGAUACGUUUUCAAAGAGUCGAGUUGUUUGGGAAUGCAGCUCAAAAUGGGUGGUAAAUUUCAUCUAAAGCUAAAUAUUGGCGAGAGACCGAUAGCGAACAAGUACCGUGAGGGAAAGAUGAAAAGAACUUUGAAAAGAGAGUUAAACAGUACGUGAAAUUGUUGAAAGGGAAACGUUUGACACCAGUCAUGCGGGUGGAAAAUCAGUCUUUUAGAGUAGGGAGUGGUGGGGGUUCGGACCGCAAGGCUGGCCUUUAUCUCAUCUCUGCGCUAAUGGAUGCACUUUUUCAUUUGCAGGUCAACAUCAGUUUCUUCUGCUGGACAAAACUCCGAGAGAAGGUAGCAGCUUUGGCUGUGUUAUAGCUCUGGAGCGAUACAGUGGAGGGGACUGAGGUUUUCGCAGUGUGUGCUCUCGGGCAAGGUUGAUUAGGUGCUAUGUGAUCGUUCGGUGUACAAUGCAUGCAUUUUGCGCUGUGUCUUUUGCAUACUCGCCUGACUCGACUCUUCCACGCUUAGGAUGUUGACUUAAUGGUUUUAAACGACCCGUCUUGAAACACGGACCAAGGAGUCUAACAUAUAUGCAAGUGUUUGGGGUGGCAAACCCAUACGCGUAAUGAAAGUGAACGUAGGUGCGAUCCGCAAGGUGCAGCAUCGACCGAUCUUGAUAUUUUUUGGAUAGAUUUGAGUAAGAGCAUAUAUGCUGGGACCCGAAAGAUGGUGAACUAUGCCUGAAUAGGGUGAAGCCAGAGGAAACUCUGGUGGAGGCUCGUAGCGAUUUCUGACGUGCAAAUCGAUCGUCAAAUUUGGGGUAUAGGGGCGAAAGACUAAUCGAACCCAUCUAGUAGCUGGAUCCUGCG
rnacentral:rRNA from 1 species